AUCUACGGCCAUACUACCCUGAACGCGCCCAAUCUCAUCUGAUCUCCGAAGCUAAGCAGGGCCGGGCCUGGUAAGUACUUGGAUGGGAGAAAAUGGGUCUCAUCACCA
rfam:Dipodomys ordii contig_4577, whole genome shotgun sequence.